CGGGGAGUACCUCAGUUGGUAGAGGCGUAGCUUUGGGAGCUACGUGUCGCGGGUUCGAGCCCCGCCUCCCCGACCU
rnacentral:tRNA from 1 species